GAUGAACGCUGGCGGCGUGCUUAACACAUGCAAGUCGAACGGGAAAUCUUUCAUUGAGACUUCGGUGGAUUUGAUUUAUUUCUAGUGGCGGACGGGUGAGUAACGCGUGGGUAACCUGCCUUAUACAGGGGGAUAACAGUCAGAAAUGGCUGCUAAUACCGCAUAAGCGCACAGAGCUGCAUGGCUCAGUGUGAAAAACUCCGGUGGUAUAAGAUGGACCCGCGUUGGAUUAGCUAGUUGGUGGGGUAACGGCCCACCAAGGCGACGAUCCAUAGCCGGCCUGAGAGGGUGAACGGCCACAUUGGGACGGAGACACGGCCCAGACUCCUACGGGAGGCAGCAGUGGGGAAUAUUGCACAAUGGGGGAAACCCUGAUGCAGCGACGCCGCGUGAAGGAAGAAGUAUCUCGGUAUGUAAACUUCUAUCAGCAGGGAAGAUAGUGACGGUACCUGACUAAGAAGCCCCGGCUAACUACGUG
rnacentral:rRNA from 1 species